rnacentral:rRNA from 1 species
GAACGCUGGCGGCGUGCCUAAUACAUGCAAGUCGAGCGAACGGACGAGAAGCUUGCUUCUCUGAUGUUAGCGGCGGACGGGUGAGUAACACGUGGAUAACCUACCUAUAAGACUGGGAUAACUUCGGGAAACCGGAGCUAAUACCGGAUAAUAUUUUGAACCGCAUGGUUCAAAAGUGAAAGACGGUCUUGCUGUCACUUAUAGAUGGAUCCGCGCUGCAUUAGCUAGUUGGUAAGGUAACGGCUUACCAAGGCAACGAUGCAUAGCCGACCUGAGAGGGGGAUCGGCCACACUGGAACUGAGACACGGUCCAGACUCCUACGGGAGGCAGCAGUAGGGAAUCUUCCGCAAUGGGCGAAAGCCUGACGGAGCAACGCCGCGUGAGUGAUGAAGGUCUUCGGAUCGUAAAACUCUGUUAUUAGGGAAGAACAUAUGUGUAAGUAACUGUGCACAUCUUGACGGUACCUAAUCAGAAAGCCACGGCUAACUACGUG